UACGUAGGGUGCGAGCGUUGUCCGGAAUUACUGGGCGUAAAGAGCUCGUAGGUGGUUUGUCGCGUUGUUCGUGAAAACUCACAGCUUAACUGUGGGCGUGCGGGCGAUACGGGCAGACUGGAGUACUGCAGGGGAGACUGGAAUUCCUGGUGUAGCGGUGGAAUGCGCAGAUAUCAGGAGGAACACCGGUGGCGAAGGCGGGUCUCUGGGCAGUAACUGACGCUGAGGAGCGAAAGCCAGGGGAGCAAACGGG
rnacentral:rRNA from 1 species